AGUCCCUCAAUAUCCAAAACAGUCGGUUGCCAUGGCGCCCAAAAUUGUAUUCUGUCAAUAGUGAAUUGUUCUGGUAUGACUGACGUGGACACGGCCAGGGAGCCUUGGACUGAGUACCAGGCCGCCAUGAGACCUGCCUUCACGCAAACGUCCGGUGUGUGGCCAGCCAAAGCACUCGAUAUAAAUGCUGCUGCGAGACUG